rnacentral:tRNA from 1 species
GCCCCCAUAGUAUAAU